rnacentral:rRNA from 1 species
CCUACGGGAGGCAGCAGUGAGGAAUAUUGGUCAAUGGGCGAGAGCCUGAACCAGCCAAGUCGCGUGAGGGAAGACGGUCCUAUGGAUUGUAAACCUCUUUUGCCGGGGAGCAAAAAGCGGUACGUGUACCGCAUCGAGAGUACCCGGAGAAAAAGCAUCGGCUAACUCCGUGCCAGCAGCCGCGGUAAUACGGAGGAUGCGAGCGUUAUCCGGAUUUAUUGGGUUAAAAGGGUGCGCAGUCGGCGAGUUAAGUCAGCGGUAAAAUUUCGGGGCUCAACCCCGACAAGCCGUUGAAACUGGCGUGCUAGAGUGGGCGAGAAGUAUGCGGAAUGCGUGGUGUAGCGGUGAAAUGCAUAGAUAUCACGCAGAUCUCCGAUUGCGAAGGCAGCAUACCGGCGCCCAACUGACGCUCAGGCACGAAAGCGUGGGUAUCGAACAGGAUUAGAUACCCUUGUAGUC